rnacentral:rRNA from 1 species
UACAGAGGGGGCAAGCGUUGUUCGGAAUUACUGGGCGUAAAGGGCGCGUAGGCGGCCUUCUAAGUCGAACGUGAAAUCCCUGGGCUCAACCCAGGAACUGCGUCCGAUACUGGAAGGCUUGAAUCCGGGAGAGGGAUGCGGAAUUCCAGGUGUAGCGGUGAAAUGCGUAGAUAUCUGGAGGAACACCGGCGGCGAAGGCGGCCAACUGGACGAUUACUGACGCUGAGACACGAAAGCGUGGGGAGCAAACAGG